rnacentral:rRNA from 1 species
GGGGAAUAUUGCACAAUGGGCGAAAGCCUGAUGCAGCAACGCCGCGUGAGUGAUGAAGGUCUUCGGAUUGUAAAGCUCUGUCUUUUGGGACGAUAAUGACGGUACCAAAGGAGGAAGCCACGGCUAACUACGUGCCAGCAGCCGCGGUAAUACGUAGGUGGCGAGCGUUGUCCGGAUUUACUGGGCGUAAAGGGUGCGUAGGCGGAUGUUUAAGUGAGA